GGGGGACCCGGGGGACCCGGCGGCUGCGGAGGGGUGAGUGGGGAGUCGUGGGCAGCCCCGUCCCGGGGUGUGCGGGUCGGGGUGUCCCGGGACUGUGGACACUCGAGGGUGGGAUGGGGGGCGGUCCCGGUCCCUCCCGUCGGGGGCGGCCGCUGGGCCCGAGGCGGGACGGGUACAGGAACGGGCGCACCGGUACCGGCACUGACACCGACCCGCGGUACCGGGAUCAUGGUGAGUCCCGGGCCGCCGCUGCCGCCGCCGCUUUCGCUUUCGCUUUCCGAGGGGACAGACCGGGAUGGGAGACACGGGACCCGCCGGGCUCGGGAUCCCCCGGUGCCAGUCCCGGUCCGCCCCCCGGGCUCUCCGUCCCGAACGGAGGGACGCGGCCACCCGGGGUGGUGGCCGGGCGGGACUUUCGGUGUCCCGGUGUCCCUGCGUGUCCCGGUGUCUCUCCGUGUCCCGGUGUCCCUCCGUGUCCCGGUGUCCCUGCGUGUCCCGGUGUCCCCGUGUGUGCUCUGGCCCCGCAGUGCCCGUGUCCCCCCGGUCCCCAUCCUCAGGUGGCCCCGUGCCCACGUCCCCCCGGUUUUUCCUGUCCCCGUGGUCCCUGUGUGCCCCCUUCACGAUGCCAAUGUCCCUGCGGUGCCCUUGUCCCCACGGUCAGGCUUUGUCCCCAGGGUGGCAGUUUCCUCACGGUCCCCCGUGUCUCCAUAAUCCCCGUGAUCCUCAUGUCCCCUGGUCCCCACCCCCGCGGUUCUUGUGUCCCCAGGUUUCCCCUGUCCCCCUUCCUCACGGUGCCCAAGUCCUCGGUGUCCCUGCCUGUCCCCGCGGCAUCUCCGUGUCCCCAUGGUCCCGAUAUCCCCACGUCCCUUUGUCCCCACGGUCCUUGGCCGCAGCGCCCACAUCCCCAGUGUUCCCGCAGCAUCCCCCAUGUCCCCCCAUGUCCCCACAUUGUCCCCCCGUGUCCCCAGGCGGGGCUGGCGCGGUGCCAGCGCGAGGCCGAGGAGGUGGCGGAGCUGAUGCGACAGAACGUGGUGCGGGCGCUGGAGCGGGAGGGACACCUGGAGCAGCUGCAGAGCCGUGCCCAGGACCUGCGACAAGCGAGCGAAGCCUUCACCCGCACCACGCAGACGGUGACGCGGCGCCAGCGCAGGAGACACCGGCGGUGGCACCUGGUAGCCCUGGGCAUUGGCCUCCUCCUCCUCUUCAUCCUGGGUCUGGCACUGGCGCUGGCCCUGGCACGGUCAUCCCCCGGGACUGGCACCAGCACUGUCCCCACCCCACAGGGGGGGACCAAGCGCCCCCCCAGCACUGCGGGGACCCCGUGACAGAGCAGGGGACACCCCAUGACAAAUAAACACCAGGAGCUGCUUGGGGAGACCCA
rnacentral:lncRNA from 1 species